GCCCUGGUGAUGGAAUGGUAGACAUAGGGGACUUAAAAUCCCCAGGCCGUAGGCCGUGCGAGUUCGAGUCUCGCCCGGGGCA
rnacentral:tRNA from 1 species